rnacentral:rRNA from 1 species
GAUGAACGCUGGCGGCGUGCCUAAUACAUGCAAGUCGAGCGAACAGACGAGGAGCUUGCUCCUUCGACGUUAGCGGCGGACGGGUGAGUAACACGUAGGUAACCUACCUAUAAGACUGGGAUAACUUCGGGAAACCGGAGCUAAUACCGGAUAAUAUUUCGAACCGCAUGGUUCGAUAGUGAAAGAUGGCUUUGCUAUCACUUAUAGAUGAACCUGCGCCGUAUUAGCUAGUUGGUAAGGUAACGGCUUACCAAGGCAACGAUACGUAGCCGACCUGAGAGGGUGAUCGGCCACACUGGAACUGAGACACGGUCCAGACUCCUACGGGAGGCAGCAGUAGGGAAUCUUCCGCAAUGGGCGAAAGCCUGACGGAGCAACGCCGCGUGAGUGAUGAAGGUCUUCGGAUCGUAAAACUCUGUUAUUAGGGAAGAACAAACGUGUAAGUAACUGUGCACGUCUUGACGGUACCUAAUCAGAAAGCCACGGCUAACUACGUG